rnacentral:rRNA from 1 species
GAUGGACGCUGGCGGCGUGCCUAAUGCAUGCAAGUCGAGCGAACGGACGAGAAGCUUGCUUCUCUGAUGUUAGCGGCGGACGGGUGAGUAACACGUGGAUAACCUACCUAUAAGACUGGGAUAACUUCGGGAAACCGGAGCUAAUACCGGAUAAUAUUUUGAACCGCAUGGUUCAAAAGUGAAAGACGGUCUUGCUGUCACUUAUAGAUGGAUCCGCGCUGCAUUAGCUAGUUGGUAAGGUAACGGCUUACCAAGGCAACGAUGCAUAGCCGACCUGAGAGGGUGAUCGGCCACACUGGAACUGAGACACGGUCCAGACUCCUACGGGAGGCAGCAGUAGGGAAUCUUCCGCAAUGGGCGAAAGCCUGACGGAGCAACGCCGCGUGAGUGAUGAAGGUCUUCGGAUCGUAAAACUCUGUUAUUAGGGAAGAACAUAUGUGUAAGUAACUGUGCACAUCUUGACGGUACCUAAUCAGAAAGCCACGGCUAACUACGUG